UUCCAUUCCUAUUUUCUCAAAGUUUGUCAAGUUACCAAGAGAGAGACCAACCAUAAGGAAGUACUCCUACCUCUCAUUAGACUUCAGAAACUUCUAUAAAGAAGAAGAUCAAUUACAGCAUUCAGUGCAAUUACUCACUUGCCCGUCACCUUGAAACCGAGCCGAAAACUGGUCGGAUUGCUGCCUUGAAAUCUUCAUAAAACUUCAGAUCAGAAAAUCUCUCUGCACGCCUCCUUGCUGCAGCAGCCAUUUUGAG
rnacentral:misc_RNA from 1 species